rnacentral:rRNA from 1 species
UGGGGAAUAUUGGACAAUGGGGGAAACCCUGAUCCAGCGACGCCGCGUGUGUGAAGAAGGCCUGCGGGUUGUAAAGCACUUUUAGUGGGGAUGAAAAGCACGGGGCUAAUACCUCCGUGUCUUGACCUAACCCACAGAAAAAGCACCGGCUAACUCUGUGCCAGCAGCCGCGGUAAUACAGAGGGUGCAAGCGUUAAUCGGAAUUACUGGGCGUAAAGCGUGCGUAGACGGUUACGUAAGUCGGGUGUGAAAGCCCCGGGCUCAACCUGGGAAUUGCAUUCGAGACUGCAUAGCUAGGGUGCGGAAGAGGGAAGCGGAAUUUCCGGUGUAGCGGUGAAAUGCGUAGAUAUCGGAAGGAACACCAGUGGCGAAAGCGGCUUCCUGGUCCAGCACCGACGUUCAGGCACGAAAGCGUGGGGAGCAAACAGGAUUAGAUACCCGCGUAGUCC